AGUAGAAUUGAUGGGCUAUAUGAUAGUCUGUGUUUAACUUCUAGAGGAACUGCCAAAAUGUUUUCUACAGUGUUUGAACCGUUUUACAUUUUCACCAGCAAU
rnacentral:pre_miRNA from 1 species